AUGGAAACACACACUACCAGCACAACUUAACCACACACGGGACAUCCCUGAAUGGAGAGCGACCCAAGACACCCUCACCAGGGACAUCAACAACAGCCGCACUCCACCCUCUCUCUCCCCCCCCUCAAAUACACUGCUGGGGAACCCUGAGGUGGUUUUGGAGAAGAGGGACGAGAGACAGGGAGAUGCAGUGGUGAUACUUCCCCUCAACGAAUGCGGGACCCCAGAUAUCUACUCAUACUGGUACACACAAAGACAUAACGGGACAAAACACUCUAACUAGCAAUCCGGGACUUCAGACAUGUACUGCAAAGAUAUGUCCAGAGAAGAAAGUCCCUUCGUCUUGAU